AAAAAAAGGUUAUCUGGACAGCUCUAGAAAACACAAAGGAAACACAGUGAGGGUUUGAUUCACGAGAACACAUCUUCUGUUUGAUACUGGUACAGCUGCAGUGGUCUCUGUGAAGCGUUUUCCCUGGGCUUGCAGUGACACCGAAGCAGCACAGCCAGCCUCUGGAAGAGGGAAUCAGCUACAUGGGCACUUUGUGUUUCCAACUGAUGUGUAGCGUGCAUCCACAGAAUCGGAGGUGUUCUAGCAUAGGUUUCACAGUGCUAUGCUUAACUGAGAAAAAGGGAGCCAAACCAUCUCUCUCUCUCCAGCUCUUCAUUACAAAAUGAAGGGAGUACACUACCUUUUGCCUUCAAUUGAUUUGGACUGCAUAGGUUGUGAUUAUGCUCAAAAAGCAACACUGGUCCUGCAAAAAGGCUUACUGCACUAUUGUGUUAAAGACAGACAUGACAGGGAAGAAGAGGAAAAGUCUAUUCAAAGCAAGAAAUGAGCCCUCAGAAACCAAUGUACAUCAAUGCCACAAUAUUGACAUUGCUAGUAGUUACCUGAAAACAACACUUUUGAAACACCGCUUCGAAGCUGGUAGGGAUGCCCACCAUUAACGGCAACAUGCCUGGCUCUGCUUGGGUUUUUUGUUUGUUUUGGUUUUUCUUUUUCCCUACUCUUUUCUUUUUUCCUCUCCCUUAUUACUACAAACAGAUGCAGACGAUUAUGAGCCCGGCUGUUAAGAGCUCUGGUAGUUUCAGACCGGAGACCCCCCUGCACAACCUACCAGGCAGAAGAGGUUACAUGAGCCCAGGGCCAUAGUGCUUCCACAGGAGCUCACGGGCUAGCUUGCAUUUGCUGGAGCAGUCGAUGAAAGAUUAAGCCCAGCAGAUGAGUACAACAGGCAAUUUCACAUCUUAAACCACCACAGCUAAACCUACCAGAGUUUACGAGACAGUCGUUUACGUUAAAGGUCCAAAUGCCAAAGGAGCGCAUCACUCUUUUUAAGACUUCCCAUAAUAUUCCAAAUAAGUUACUUCCUUAUUCUCCUAGGGUUUAAAAUUCCUUAUACAAUUUCUGCCUUUUUCAACAGGAUACUGAGAGAAUUAGUUCAUUAAAGCAUUGAGAUCAUUUGAAGAAUGGAAGGAAACAAACUGCUGCAAAAAGCCAGUACAAUUUGCUAAAAAUUGGUUUUAUUAUCCCGCUUAAUAAUGGGAUAAUGCACUUGAACAGCAGAGAAUUUUGUAGUGGAUUAUUCAGAGGGAAUUGUUUUGUGCAGAUCAUUUCUGCAUUAAUAUUAAAACAUUCUUGGCCUAGAGAUACUUCAAUGUAACGGUUAUACGCAUUUCUAUUUCACGUCACAUAACGUCCGCUUAUAACGCAAUGCUAUGUCACUCAAAAGGUGAGAAAAUUAAGGAAGUCCUUUUUAGAAGCACUAAAUACUUUAGAAAACAACACUUCAUUAGUAUAAUCACUAAAAAGCGUUUGAUCACAGUACCAGCACCUUAGAAGACAAAUUUCAAGCCUAAAAUCUCACCUUGUACAUAUAUGUGUAUAUAUGCAUGGAGAGAGAGACAGGCACACGCGCACACCCCUAUCUCGGAAGGGUUCCCAAGGAGCACCGGUGAGGGUUUGGAAAGGCUCCUUCCCGACCCUCCUCAGAAGGAGCCACCCUUGAAGCAGCCCAGCCAGAACGACAGUGCUGAAUGGCAAAUCUGCAAGGACUAAAGUCAGGCAGCUACCUGGAAAGAAAAAGGAUCCUUCAUGGUGUGUUUAUAAAUGCUAAAUGGCCUGGGAAACUGCUGAGAGAUUUCUCAUGCUCAGAUCCUCAUUUUCUCUUGCGUGGUCAUCCCUGGGACAGCUCUGGAAAACAAGGCAGCCAUUUUCUCAUAAGCUGUUACACUCGGCAAACCAGAUUGAAGUGCUUGAUAAGCUGCUGUUCUCUUCCGUGCCCGCAGCAAUCGGAGGGGAAAAACAACCCAUCACCCACAAACAGGUGGCAACGUCUAAAAAUACAUCACAGAAGAUAUAUGUAAAACCAGAAUACUCUUCUUGAUCAAAACAGAAGCAAGGAGUUUGGUGGUGGAGCGAGGAGUCAGACAAGCACCAUAUGGCCAGAAAGGAGGGAAGACAAAAGCGAGGGCCGAGCCACCUCUCUCAGCAGCAGCAAGAGUUAACGUUGGCUCAGCUGUGUUGUCUAAUCAAGUAUUCUAAAUCAAUUAAGACUGAAGCCAAUUUGUACACAUGAAUCUUUGUAUUUAUAAAUGAACCUAAAUAUUCCACAGUAA